AAGAAGAGUACUGUUACACAAUCAAGGUACUUGGAGUCAAACAGACAGGCCUGGAUGAGAUCUUUAAGGUCAGGGCCCUCCCCAAGGUACUUGGAGUCAAACAGACAGGCCUGGAUGAGAUCUUUAAGGUCAGGGCCCUCUGCAAGGCUCACAAAAUUAUUUUAGACCCAAGCCACCCCCUGUACCCGGACUUUGAACUACUCCCCUCUGGGCGCAGGUAUAGGGCACCCCUCAGCAGGAAAAACAGAACUAGACAAUAAUUUGUGCUAGGUGUGAUAUCCCUGCUAAAUAGCUCGGGCUAAUGUUCCUAUCGACUCAGUAAGGUCAGC
ensembl:lncRNA